CUGACUAGUGAGGGAGGACUAGCUCUGGAGCAGCACCUUGGACAGAGCAGUGCUGGGCAGGCUUGGGGAAGUGGAGUGGGACUACGGCCCAGAUACCUGUCAGGCUGUGGCCCUUGCUACAAGGGUCGAGAAGAAUGGGGUGAGACCAGAGUAGUGGGCACUGCCAGAGGGCAGUGUCCUGAAGUGGAUGAAGACUGUCCUGAAGAGGAUGCUGACGAUCAGGGAGAAAUGCGGGUUCCCAGGACAACAGAGCAGAGACAAUGGGCGAGCUACCACACGUCAAGGGUGCUCUGCAGCAGGCAAGAGCUAAUUCCUGGAGUGAAUGGCAGAGGGCGCCAGCGGUGGGGAGCGACACAUAUAUUGUAUGACUUACCAUUGGAAUCCGAUGCCGCUUGCUCGGUCAUCUGAGACACUAGUGAGACAUCCUCUGCGGUUUCUGCCAAGUUAUCUCCUUGCAGUCUAAAUGGAGAAAAAACAUCACUUUGUAUGUUCAAAGUCCAGUUCUCACUGACUUCCAUUGCAUUUCCGAGUGCUCAGUACUUCUUCAAAUCAGACCAUAAGGUCUCAAGUCAGGGACCCAGAAUAUGAGGAACACAUAAGCACAGAAUUAUAGAAGUAUACAGCUGGAAGAGACUGCAAGAGGUCAUUCCCACCCCCGAUACCAAGGCAAGAUUAAGUAUAUCUAAACCAGACAUGGGCAUAAUAUGGCCCCCGGGACCGUCCUGCCCAGCCCCUGAGUUCCCAGCCAGGGACCCUAGUCCCCGGCCCC